GACCUCAAAUCAGGUAGGACUACCCGCUG
rnacentral:ncRNA from 5 species